rnacentral:misc_RNA from 1 species
GAACAAAUUUCAAUCCCUGGGUAAAUUUAAGAUUCCCCGGAUCCUUGGAGUUUUGGAACCCAAGUUGCCCGGAUCCCUUUGGGGAAAUUCUGGCUGGCCAGGGGGUAAAACAUAAGGCCCCUCCCACCCCCCCUUGGGGAAGGAUGUUGGGUUUUGGCCUUCUGCCCCCAGGGGGGGGUGGGUUGAAUUGGGGGUGGCGGAAGAUCCAGUUCGGGCAAACCAGUGGGUGGGGGCAAUUAAGUUCGGUUGGGGCCACGCCUCGGCACGCGACCGGCAAAUUGGCCCUAAGGACCCAGCAAGCAUCGCAACACAUUGCUUGGAAAAACCUACCCCCCAGUCUUGACUAGCCGCUGAGUUUAAGCGC